AUUGAACGCUGGCGGCAGGCCUAACACAUGCAAGUCGAGCGGAGCGGCGGACGGGUGAGUAAUGCCUAGGAAUCUGCCUGGUAGUGGGGGAUAACGUCCGGAAACGGGCGCUAAUACCGCAUACUCUCCGAUUAGCCUAGGUCGGAUUAGCUAGUUGGUGGGGGAAAGGCCUACCAAGGCGACGAUCCGUAACUGGGCUGAGAGGAUGAUCAGUCACACUGGAACUGAGAGACGGUCAAGACGCAGACGGGAGGCAGCAGUGGGGAAUAUUGGAAAAUGGGCGAAAGCCUGAUCCAGCCAUGCCGCGUGUGUGAAGAAGGUCUUCGGAUUGUAAAGCACUUUAAGUUGGGAGGCGUUACCAACAGAAGAAGCACCGGCUAACUUCGUGCCAGCAGCCGCGGUAAUAC
rnacentral:rRNA from 1 species